rnacentral:scRNA from 1 species
GUACUGCUGCUGCUGCUGUUGCUGCUGCGGUGCCUGUUGGUACUGCUGC